AGUAUUCUAUGGGCGAUAUUGAGCAAUGGUCUUUCUUAUUGUGUUACUGUGCUGAUUGCGUGCACUGAUCAAAUGACACUUGGAGCAUUUUACAUAAAAGAAGACUAAUUUCAGGUGGUAAAAGAAAAUCUUGACUUUGAUUUCAAUCUGUGAUUAUUCUGAGAAGUGAUUAAAAGAAGUGAUUAGAAGAAGUGAUCAGAAGUGUUAGCUUGCUAAAUGAAUCAAUGGUAAUCUAAGGUUACCAUCAGUCUCUGUUUCAGUUUCCUUGUCCCUCUGGGUAAUUGACCCCAGAAAGUGUUCCCGCCUCUGAAAGCUGUCCCCAUGGCAAUAGAGCCACCUACAGCUAAUUGUAGCUACUCCAUGACAGGAGGAAGGAAGACGUCACCUGACCCCUUUCCCCCUCCCAUGUUCUACAAACUUCCCACGCAGCGACCCCUCUCCAUUGCACUGUGCCCCGCUACAUCUGACAGAGGUUUGUAGCUGAACAUCUGAAUGUUCCUGCAAGUUCUUGUGUCACAUUCUUCAGCAACAGUAAACAACUCAUGGUGUAUUCCUGAUACGUGUUCUUGGUCAUUUGAGGAUGCACCUCUUCUAAGCAUGGAAUCUCCUCUUUGCCUGGGAAGGUCCAAGACAGACUUUUCAUUAUUAAAGCCAACCAUGUGGCACUAUGCUCGAGGAGAUGGAAUUUUCCAAGGGCUGCAGAACAACAGCAGCAGCAGGAUGGAUAGCCCCACACGCAGCAUAAUAGGUAUAUUUCCAGAUUUACUGUAAAUGUUCUGCUGUCUCCAGUACUGGGGACUUAAGGAAUGUGAGUAAGAAGUAAUAUCAUGGAUAGAGAAGAAUGGGGUACUAUUCCUAACAGAAAGGUUUGUUUUGGAAUGGGGCCUUCAGAAAAUACACAGUUACACCACCCAUGAAUGAGGUAAUGGAUUAGGUAAAAGAUAAAAUCAUGAGGCAAUGAAGAAGAAGAUGUCAUUUUUUACAAUGCUCAGCCUCUAGUUCCUGUACAGUUCCACAAAUCAUAGGAUUUAGUAUGCACGUGGGACCCUCCGGAGUAAAUCACUGAAAAGCCUGUUUUUACUCUUCAUAUGAAGAAACAAUUAAUUGGGUUUAAUUUCCUAAACUAUGCAAAAAGCAUAUGCCUCUUUGAAAACUCAUGUCCAUUGUUAAAUUCCACUUAAGAUCUUUGUGGAAGAUUUUGUGGCUCCCUGACCGGUAUAAAAAUGAAAGAUGGUAGAGCUGCCAUUUUGAAACAAGACAGAGCACUAUGAGAAGAACAGAUUCAUUGUCGUUAAACAUUUGGUUAUUUGGAGUCCAGCAAAGCAAAAUACUCGAGAGGAUUAUUUAUGACAGCUGUUAAAGGUUGCGUUUUAUUUACCAAGGGCCAGAAUAGCUGAAUCAGCAUAAUAACGCACAUUUUUAUGAUUUCGUCCUGUCCAAAACUGCUCUGCGCACAUCAUGCCAAAGAAUAGCCAAUUAAAUCCCAUUUCUUGCCCCAGCAAAGUCUUAGGUUCUGAAGUUUCUAUAAAAAACAUUCUUAUGCUAAAAGAGAGAUUGUUUACUGCCUAGUCAUAGCAAGGGUGAUGGUUACAUAUGAAGACACAUGAUUCCUCCUCAGUAACCUAUAGUAUCCAAUAAGAUAUUUGCUUUUAUUAUUCUGCAUGUGCUAAAAGAAUAAAAGCUUAAUUCUAAUUAGGUGACAAUGUGUAAAACAAGUUGUCCUAAUUCGACACAUUUGAGGUUAUUCUUGGCUUUACAGCAUAAUGUUAUACACUUAUCCAAUAAUAGCCCAUUCCAGUGUUUUUUGUAAAUGAUAUGGUCCCAGUAUUACUUAUAAUUCUAUCUUCAGUGGCCUCGUCUUAGAUUUUUUUUUUCUGUUUUACUGAUAAAUAAAAAACAUAUGGUCCUAUGUAAGCCUGCCUUAUAAACAUGCAUUAUAAAUGAAUAGAAACCAAAAAUGGGUGUGAGGGUUGGGAGAUGAUUUUUUUUGCCUUCUUUUAAAUAAUAGUGAGGUCCAAUUCUGGAACCCCCCCCCCCCCCCUUACAAUUACAGGUAGGAAGUUGUAUUUACUCCUUGCUCCUUUCUUUAAAGAAAGUGGCAAUAUCUUCUUCAUAGUGAACCAUUACUGGAAGUUUUUAGCUCAUCGAGAGGCUGGAAAAAGGGGUCUUAAUUUCUGAUUUGCUGUUGUUUACUAUAGGGUUAAAAGUUACAUCUGUGUUACACUAUUCCCCCCCACAGUUCAUCUGCAAAAAGUUAUGUACAUCUGUAGACCCUGAGCUGCAUUGAAGGUACAGAGCAUUAGCUAAAUAAAAUUCAAAUUAAAAUAGAAUCACAAGGUACGUAGCUACACAUUUCUGGACAAGACAAGACAAUGCUUUCUGACGUGAGAGACAAUUCUUUUGAUGAGAGGCAAUAUUUUCUGACGUGAGAGACAAUUCUUUAUGGAGCUGGUAGGAUAUUUAAAGGAAAUGCCCCAUUUACUAGAAAAGUCAGGUUCUGUGUGGAUGGACACCCUCUGAGAAGACUGUGGUGAUCAUCAUCAUCCUGAAAAAUGUGCUGCUUUGUGUUCUCUAUAAGCUUCUAUUUGUACCUGAAAGAAUGAAGUGCAUGGAUCUCUUCACCUCAGCCAUCACAUUUGAAGCUAUACAGAAGAAGAUUCCAGACUGAUUGCUGUACCGUGAGGUAGUCAGUAUGCUCACAAGCUGCAAAAACACAAAGGAAUAUUCAAUUAACUAGAUGAGAUACAUUUGGAAACCAAAAAACAUGUAUAAAAACAUAUAAACAUAUAAGCAAAUUAAAAAACAACAUUGUUAUAC